GCAUGAGCCACCGCGCCAGGUGGUUUUAUAAGGGAAUUUUCCCCCACUUUGCUCUGCACUUAUCCUUGCUGCUGCCAUGUGAAAAAGGAUGUGUUUGCUUCCCCUUCUGCCAUGAUUGUAAGUUUCCUGAGCCCUGUGUCCCAGCUGCUCCAGCGGUGACUAAAAGAGGCCAAGGUAUAGCUCAGGUCGUUGCUUCAGAGGGUGCAAGACCCAACUCUUGGGUUGGGUCUUGGCGUUGGUGUUGGUCCUGCAGAGGCACAUAAGACAAGAAUUGAGGUUUGGGAACUUUCGCUUAGAUUUCAGAGGAUGCAUGGAAAUGCCUGGAUGUCCAGGGAGAAGUUUGGUGCAGGGGUGGAGUCCUCCUGGAGAACCCCUGCUAGGUCAGUGCAGAAGGGAAAUGUGAGGUGGGAGCCACCACACAGAGUCCCCACUUGGGCACUGCCUAGUGUGGCUGUAAGAAAAGGGUCACCAUUCUCCAGAACCCAGAAUGGUAGAUCCACAGACAGCUUGCACCAUGCACCUGGAAAAGCCACAGACACUCAAUGCCAGCCAUGAAAAAACCCAAGAGUGGGGCUGUACCCUGCAAAGCCACAGGGGCAGAGCUGCCCAAGAUUGUGGGAGCCCAUCUCUUGCAUCAGUCUAACCUGGAUGUGAGACAGGGAGUCAAAGGAGAUCAUUUUGGAACUUUGCAGUUUAAUGACUGCCCCGUUGAAUUUCAGACUGGCAUAGGUCCUGAACCCCCUUUGUUUUGGUCAGUUUCUCCCAUUUGGAAUGGGUGUAUUUUCUCAAUGCCUGUCCCCAUUAUAUAGCUAAAUUGCUUUUGAUUUUACAGGCUCCUAGGGACCUGAGAAAAGGCACUUGUCUUGUCUCAGAUGUGACUUUGGACUUGGACUUUUGAGUUCAUGCUAGAAUGAGUUAAUACCUGGGAGGACUGUUGGAGGGACAUGAUUGUGUUUUGAAUUUUGAGGACAUGAGUUUUGUGAGGGGCUAGGGUGGAAUGAUAUGGUUUGGCUAUGUUGCCAGCCAAAUCUCAUCUUGAACUGUAGUUCCCAUAAUCCUCAGGUGUUAUAGGAGGAACCUGGUGGGAGGUAAGUGGAUCAUGGGGGCGGUUACCUCCAUGCUGUUCUCAUAAUAGUGGGUGAGUUCUCAUGAGAUAUGAUGGAUUUUUAAGGUGCUUUUCUCCAACUUCGCUCUGCACUUUUCCUUGCUGUCGCAAUGUAAGGAAGGAUGUGUUUGCUUCCCCUUCUGCCAUGAUUGCAAGUUUCCUGAGGUCUCCCCAGUCAUGCUAAACUGUCCAAUCAGCAUAAUGUCAUCAAUGCAAUGGAACGGACUGAUUUUCUGCAGAAAGGGAAAUCAAUCAAGGUCCCAGUGGACUAAAUGAUGAUAUAAGGCUGAAGAAUGGACGCAUCCUGUGAUGAAAAUAAUGCUUCCCUUAGUUGAAAUUCUUAGGAAAAUGGCUCCAUAAAUAUGUAUGUAGGAUGCUAUUACUCACUCAUUAUUGACAGUUGUAUCAAGUGUGAUAUAAAACACAAUUUUCAGUGACAAUGGAAUAAUUACAGUCUUGUAGUCUUGGAAUAGCCCCUGAUCACUACUGUUGCUGAUUCUGUCAUUAUAUUUUGUGUCACCUGGUUCCCAGUGGACUGUCAACACUCUUUACAUCCUGGAAUCUGAAAUCAAUUUUGUUGAGUUAACAAAGCUACAUCAUUACAUGUAUCAACUGGGGGAUCUCAGAUAAAUUCAUAUGGGUCUGAUUAUCCUUAAAUAAACCAUAUAAACAGUAGAUUGUUAUAACUGACAAGGGAUCGUGUUCUGUCUAGUCAGAGAACUUAAGUUAGGGAGGCAUGCUGUACAAAGUAUAAAAAUGUUUCAAAGGAUAGAAUUGUUAAAUUUCUGUUGUUUUAAGCCACCCAUUGUGUAGUACUCUGUUAUAGUAGCCCAAGAAAACCAAUACACUGUAUAAUGGAACAUUAUUUAGCCAUAAAAAAUGAAUUAAGGGCUGAUACAUGCUACAAUGCAGACAGACUUUAAGAAAACAUAAUGUUAAGUACAAGAAACCAGACACACAAGACUAUUUAUUAUGUGGUUCCACUUAUAUGAGACGUCUAAAACAGAAAAAUCUAUAGAGAUAAGCAAAUUAGCACAUGUCAAGGGCUGGGGUGAAAUGUAGAGUGACUACUAAUGAGUACACAAUUUUUUUUGAGAUGAUGAAAAUGUUCUAAAAUUGUCGUGAUAGUUGCAUAACUCUGUCAUUAUACCAAAAAAAUCAUUGAAUUGUAUAAUUUAAAAAGUAUGUGAAUUAUAUCUCAAUAAAAUAUUUUAAAAACAGAAUUAUUUAACAUAGUUGUGGUUGUAUUAGUGAACAACAAGCUAUCAUUGAAAGUCAGCUUCAUGAAAUUUCCUAAGUGAUAUUUUGAAAUACUAGGUUAUUCACCCAUACAUUUCCUUAAAUCAAAGGAAAUCCCUGCACCUGGAGUAAGACCACCCAACUACCAGCAGGAAAAGAGUAUUCAAAGACUCACUUGGAGUAAUAAUUAUCUAGUAGGAGUCAGGUGGGACUCCUAGAAAUUUGUAUGUGCUCCUUGGAGACCGUCCAACCCUCUCUGUUGCAAUAUUCACAACCCUAUCCCCAUUACCUGAUUUGGGACCAUCUGUUCUUAAACACUUCUGUGAAUCUUUCUUUCAUUGUAUAACAUUAAUUGAAAUGAACUUUUUCCUUGAGGACACUGUUUCCCAUGUAGACCUUUCAAGCAGUGGAUUUUUUUUACUUCCACAUACCACAACACAGAAAAAAAGGUUUACUUUUCAUGUAUUUCUUUUCUUUUAAGACCUACUCUAAGUAGUAGAAUUUUUUAUCAGUGAGAUUUAUUUGCCUUGCUUAUGGAGACUCACUUUGACUAACAUUAGAUACUUAAUUUUUUAUGUGGAUUAGUACACAAUUAUAUUCAAUUUUCUCAAAGAGUACACAUUCUCUCAAAGCAGCGUAUUAAAACCAAAAUGUUUUAUGUGACCCUAAGUUCUCUUUUCCCCAAGGUGACAUAAUAACAAUAUUUCUUAGAAAUUUCUUCAUGCACAGGGAGACAGCUGAUCUUUUAUCAUGUCUCAAGGACAUAUCAUCAUAAAUGGAUGGCAUUCUAAUAAAUGGAAAUUAAAUGGUGCGAUAGAUUGUUCUGGUACUGAGAAGGAAGGUCUGGGCUAGUUAAUUAGACUUAACAGUCAUUUAGACAAAAGAUAAAAAGAUGAUGGAACUUCACUGGAGUGAGGUUACUUGCUUUCCUUCAGCCUACACUCUCAGUUCUGCUAAUGACCUAUUUGUUUCUCAAACCUAGUCUACCCUGGCCAUAUCGACCCCAAAGAGAAACUAGAUAACUUAUGCCAACUUGAGGCAAUAACUGGGAGAUUAGAGAGAUAACCAGCAAUUGGUACCUUCUUUUCUUUUUCCUUCUUUCUUUAUCUUCCUCCCCUCAAAUAGUCCAGAAGUUAAUAUGGCUCAUUUUUUUCCUUUGCUCCGUGUGAAUGGAUUAGUAACGAUUGCUUUGAAAUAACCUAAAACAAUGCCCUACAGAUACAUUAGCCGCCAUUUCCUGUGCAGAAUUCUUCAUUAGCUCUGCUCAAACCUUAUACUUUGAUGACCUCUGCCUCCUUCUACAUUUUUCUCUCAUGAUUAUUGCACCAAAAUUCCAUUUUGUUAUCAAAUCUAGGACCUUAGGGGGAGUCAUGAAGCAUGCUGUCUCCCUUGCCCAUUCUCUCUUACAUAGCCCAACAAAUCCACCCAUUAGAACAAUUACCUUUUUACUUCCUGAAUUUGUCCCCAACCACUUAUCUUGUCUAUUACCACUGUCUCAGCUUCAUGCAGGAUCUAAUUUUUUUCAGAACUAUUGUAAUAUUCUUCUAAUUGGGCUCUCUGCUUAGUCUUGCUUUUAACUAAUACAUCGAAUGGCUGUCAAUGUGAUCUUAAGUAACAUAUAUCAAUCACUAUGUUACUCCCUUUGUAAACUCCUUCAGUGAAUUUCAUAUUUUUUUAAAAAAAAUCUAAGUCUCCUGGAAUAACACAUAAACCUGAACUUAUAUGAAUAAUUCUUUUUCAGAGUUUGCCAAAAGAAAAUGAAAAAGUCAAGUAAAACAGUUUAAUUAAAAAUAAUCACCUUUCUCACUUCUUAAAAAAUUCAGACCUUAUCUCGUCAUUUGGUCUCAUAGCUUUUGUUUUUCCCUUUUUAAAAAUUGCUCUCUCUCCAUCUCAGUCUACAGUAGGAUCUUGAUGCAUAAGAGCUUUUAUAUUUCCACACAUUUAAAUGUUAUUAUUUCUACUCCAUGGAAUGCCCUUUCCUUUCAUGACGC
rnacentral:lncRNA from 10 species